rnacentral:rRNA from 1 species
GACGAACGCUGGCGGCGUGCUUAACACAUGCAAGUCGAACGGAAAGGCCCUGCUUUUGUGGGGUGCUCGAGUGGCGAACGGGUGAGUAACACGUGAGUAACCUGCCCUUGACUUUGGGAUAACUUCAGGAAACUGGGGCUAAUACCGGAUAGGAGCUCCUGCUGCAUGGUGGGGGUUGGAAAGUUUCGGCGGUUGGGGAUGGACUCGCGGCUUAUCAGCUUGUUGGUGGGGUAGUGGCUUACCAAGGCUUUGACGGGUAGCCGGCCUGAGAGGGUGACCGGCCACAUUGGGACUGAGAUACGGCCCAGAGUCCUACGGGAGGCAGCAGUGGGGAAUAUUGCACAAUGGGCGGAAGCCUGAUGCAGCAACGCCGCGUGCGGAAUGACGGCCUUCGGGUUGUAAACCGCUUUCGCCUGUGACGAAGCGUGAGUGACGGUAAUGGGUAAAGAAGCACCGGCUAACUACGUG